rnacentral:misc_RNA from 1 species
AGUCAUUGAGUUGGGGUAAGAGACAAAGAUACAAGGAUCCAAGUAAAAGAUAACCGUCGUAUGCCAUGCGUAAAAUCAGUUGACAAUGCCUGGUGGGAGUUCAGGGCUACGCUCUCUCUGCUGCUAAUCACCGAGUCACCGACAACAACCCACCACCAUAGUUCUUUCGACCAUAGCUGUCAGUCUAAAACCUAGGCACACUUGCACAGUACCUCUGCUUAAAUUACAGACUAGGCACUUAUCCCAUCCAGCGAGCUGCUCAAAAGUAAAAAGUACACCAGCCAUAAUAAUAAUACAAUUACGGAGACGAAAGCAGCAGUACAAUCAUUGAUAAAAAAAAUAAAAAAAAGCAGCAGUACAAUCAAUAACAUGG